rnacentral:rRNA from 1 species
GACGAACGCUGGCGGCGUGCUUAACACAUGCAAGUCGAGCGGUAAGGCCCCUUCGGGGGUACACGAGCGGCGAACGGGUGAGUAACACGUGAGCAAUCUGCCCUUCACACGGGGAUAACCACCGGAAACGGUGGCUAAUACCCGAUACGACCACUUCAGGCAUCUGAUGGUGGUGGAAAGUUCCGGCGGGGAAGGAUGAGCUCGCGGCCUAUCAGCUUGUUGGGGGGGUAAUGGCCUACCAAGGCAACGACGGGUAGCCGGCCUGAGAGGGUGACCGGCCACACUGGGACUGAGACACGGCCCAGACUCCUACGGGAGGCAGCAGUGGGGAAUAUUGGACAAUGGGCGAAAGCCUGAUCCAGCAACGCCGCGUGAGGGAUGACGGCCUUCGGGUUGUAAACCUCUUUCAGCAGGGACGAAGCGCAAGUGACGGUACCUGCAGAAGAAGCACCGGCCAACUACGUGCCAGCCGCCGCAGUAAGAC